rnacentral:rRNA from 1 species
UACGUAGGGUGCGUGCGUUGUCCGGAAUUAUUGGGCGUAAAGAGCUCGUAGGCGGUUUGUCGCGUCGGCCGUGAAAACUUGGGGCUUAACUCCAAGCUUGCGGUCGAUACGGGCAGACUUGAGUUCGGCAGGGGAGACUGGAAUUCCUGGUGUAGCGGUGAAAUGCGUAGAUAUCUGGAGGAACACCGGUGGCGAAGGCGGCAUCCUGGACCGACACUGACGCUGAGGCGCGAAAGCUAGGGUAGCAAACAGG